CCCACCCCUAGAAAUCCUAAUUAGCAAGAGGCCCAGGAAUCUGCAUUUGUUAGAUGUUUUCGGGAUCACACCGAGAAGUACUGGUCUCCACCUGCACCUCCUCUCUAACUCCUCAGAAACAGUUCCAUCCUCCAGGUUCUCACUGCGUAGACUCCCCACUGACACCCAGGCCCGGGGACAUACUAAUACAGUGAUUCUCAUCACCAGCCAUACAUUUAAAUCACCUGGAGAACUUUUAAAUGUUUACUGAUGCCUGUGACUCAGCCUCAGCCCUGGGCUCCCUGGAAGCGGAGCUCCAGCUACCAGUGUCAUGUUAGAGCAAACCCAGUGGCUCUGACCUUGCAUCCAGCAUGGAUGCCUUUUCUAAUCCAUCCACUGCCCCCCGUGGUCUUUCUUACUCUGCUUUAAGGCAUUCUAAGAUUCCUUCUUUCCUAGAGCAGAGCUUCCCAGCCUGCAUCCCUGAGAAGGCAAGCGGACUGCAGGUGUGGUAAGACAUCAAUCCGCCCUCAUCAGCCCACGCCUGGGCCCGUGGGCUCCACUCUGAGCAGCCUCUCCUGCAGCUCCUUGGAUGACGGAUAGCUCGAGCUGAUGGCGUUUGCUCUCCUCUCCCCUCUGGGACCCUGUUCUCUGGUGCCCACUGCAGACGAGGUGCCCAUCGAGAUGCAGAAGACGGAUGGGGCCCAGGUGCCCAGGAAGCUCAACACCACGGGCUGAAACGAGGUGACGGUUUUAGCUAGAGUUCCCAGGCAACCAGAGAUCCACUCAUGGGAUUCACAGUUGCCAUGGAGAAAAAAACCACUCACUGUUCGUUUAAACAACUGCAUUCCGUUUGAAUUACCUGCCUUGCUCAUGCUGCUGAAUGACCAGCUUUGUGACCACCCCAAGGACACAAAUCUCUUAAAUACAGAGCGGCUGCUGGGUACUCACAUGAAAGAAAGGCUUGAUCAUCUUGCACGGCCCACACCACGUGGCGGAGAAGUCCACCACCACGAGCUUAUCUCCGGCGCUGUUCAAGGCUUCCUGGAAAGCUUCCUAGGAGA